UACGGAGGAUGUAAGCGUUAUCCGGAAUGAUUGGGCGUAAAGCGUCCGCAGGUGGCUGUGUAAGUCUGCUGUUAAAGAGUCUAGCUCAACUAGAUACAAGCAGUGGAAACUACACGGCUAGAGUACGUUCGGGGCAGAGGGAAUUCCUGGUGUAGCGGUGAAAUGCGUAGAGAUCAGGAAGAACACCGGUGGCGAAGGCGCUCUGCUAGGCCGUAACUGACACUGAGGGACGAAAGCUAGGGGAGCGAAUGGG
rnacentral:rRNA from 1 species